AACAUAUGAUAUAAUAAUUAGUUACUAUUUUAAAGACGAAGUUGGAAACUAAUUUCACCAGUAACACUGAUGUU